UCCCCAAGCAUCCAGUGGCGGGCUCGAAACUACUCACAGCGGCUUGUAGUCUUCCCUGCGGACUCCCUUUGUGCACCCUCCGUGCACUUUUGCACAUUUUUGUGCAGCCGAACCCCCCUCUCGUGUGCCUCCAUGCAUGACGAAAUUUGGCGAUGAGAGCUUUGAAGCCCUCCCUAGACAUCCGUCGGCAUCAAACCUUAUCGGAUCUGCAGAUCCGAGGAGCUUCUGUGCACCCUCGAUAUGGUCGGAGCCACUAGCAGCGCCAAACCCCUCUGAUCGAUCCCCUCCGAUCGAACCCCUCUGGCCGAACCCCU
rnacentral:lncRNA from 1 species